GUAGCAAUGUUUGAACAUGGUCGGGCCAGAAAUAAGCAAGUUUUGACAGUUUAGCUAAUUAUCCGUUUUACCAGGUUUUACAUCUGAGUGAAAUACUACUAACAGUGUAUAGGUCUAGCAACUAGAGAA